rnacentral:lncRNA from 1 species
UGCGCGGCCACCCUUUCAUUGCCCUGCGCCCCGAGCGGUCCCACCGCCCGGCAAAACACUGAGCAAGCCGCUGCUCUCACCUUGCUUGACACACUUGAGCCGGAGGGGGUCCUUGCAGUGUUUGAUCACGGCCAGCACGUCCCUGAUGGUGAGCCCCGCCACGGGGGUCUCGUUCACCUCCAGCAGCAGCUCCUCCGACACCAAUUUGCUGCCGCUCUCAUAGGCCACCUUGCCGGGCUUCACCUCCCCCAGGCUGUGGCCCCGCAGCAGAGGAAGCAGUGGUGGUGGCGUCGGCGGCGGCGGCGGCGGCAGCCGGAGCGAGCAGUAGCCGAGCUGUGUUCCCUUCUUUUCGCCAGGUUUGCAUCCAAGAGAGGGGAGGACAGGGGCAAAAGGAUGCAGGGAGGCUGCUGAUUUCCACUGAAGAGCUAAUUUCCUGUGAGACAUUAACAGUGAUUUAAGAAAAAGAUUCCUGUAACUGUAAUGUCUUACAAUAACAGAAUGCAGGAGAGCACAUAUCAAUGAAGAAAAGACAAAAUGUACUUAUCCAUGAAGCUGAGGUUAAGAAACCAGUGUCUUCAAGAGCCAGGGACAGCACUGGGUCUGUGCAGAGUUGAGAGAUGGUGAUGACAUGUGGUUUCCAGCAUUCCUCACCCAGUCCAGGGACACUGUGGGUGUGCCCAGCUUAAGUCCAGUAACUGGAAAUACAAGCCCAAGUUCUGGAGAGUUUGAGCUGCAGAGAUAUAUAUGGGAACACUUUGAAUCUUGACUCAUUGGCCAUAACCAGCAGAGUGGAAAAUACAAGAAGAGAAAAAAACAUUGAACUGCGAUUUUAUAACAUCCUUUACUAGGCAGAGAGAAGAGGAAACACCAGGAAAGAAAACUGUAUUACGAUGUGAAAACUUAAUGUUGAGAAAUUCAGGCAUCUUGGGGUUAGUGAGGAGAAGUUUUAGGGGCUUAGAUUCUUCUAAACACAUGUACAGAAAUGCAUAUUUCAUCUGAUAUCAAAUGGCAUUUAUAGUGCUAAUCUUUACCUCAAGACUUCACAUCUUUUGGUGAUUGCAUCUUUUAGGUUUAUAGCAGCUAAGUUUGCAUGAAAACACCAGGGCUGUUUCAUUUCAGUCAAGAAUUAAUGUUCAUUGAUUGUGCUUCUGCAUUUCAUGUAACUAUUGUAGAAUUUGUUUUAGUUUUAUGAGGGAAUAAUUGUUCCAACUUCUAUAUAACUCAGGAAUUUACUCUCAAACAACACUGUCAAUUAGUUACUUAUCUCUCUGGAAAUGAUCUGGGAACAUGGAGAGGAAAGGGAGGAAGGGGCAAAAUCUGACCACUUAAAUCUAAGCAUAUUAGAUCAUUUUAUGCUAGAAAGUCCUGAAUGAUGUGACUUUCGUUCUUGUAAAACACCUCUUUCCAUAGAUUCAUGGCCCAAACAGUAUAUAAAGAGUGGGGAAGGAACUGCAUUUGCAAAUAGUUCAAAUCAUUGCUCCAUCUUAACUACGCAGUUCACAAAGUGUGAAGAAAUGUGAUCAUCUCAAAAAAGAUAAUGGGGAAAAAAUAUGUUUUGUUCUGUGACUUUAAAGUCUUGCAAUAUUUUACAUAAAUGAUAAUGGGUGCUUUAAUAAGAACUCUUGAUACUUUUGUUAUUGUAUUCAAUAUAUGCAUAUAAUACAACAGGAUGAUAUUGUUUUGGAUUUGGAAAUGUAUUCUUUCUUAUGCAAUCUUAUGCAGUCAUACUGCUUGAAUAUCAUUACCUGAAUUUAUCUUUCUUUUUUUUGUUGUUGUUUUACACUCU